AUACGAGGGGAGCUAGCGUUGUUCGGAAUUACUGGGCGUAAAGCGCACGUAGGCGGCUUUGUAAGUUAGAGGUGAAAGCCCGGAGCUCAACUCCGGAAUUGCCUUUAAGACUGCAUCGCUUGAAUCCAGGAGAGGUGAGUGGAAUUCCGAGUGUAGAGGUGAAAUUCGUAGAUAUUCGGAAGAACACCAGUGGCGAAGGCGGCUCACUGGACUGGUAUUGACGCUGAGGUGCGAAAGCGUGGGGAGC
rnacentral:rRNA from 1 species